rnacentral:rRNA from 1 species
AUUGAACGCUGGCGGCAGGCCUAACACAUGCCAGUCGAGCGGAUGAAGGGAGCUUGCUCCUGGAUUCAGCGGCGGACGGGUGAGUAAUGCCUAGGAAUCUGCCUGGUAGUGGGGGAUAACGUCCGGAAACGGGCGCUAAUACCGCAUACGUCCUGAGGGAGAAAGUGGGGGAUCUUCGGACCUCACGCUAUCAGAUGAGCCUAGGUCGGAUUAGCUAGUUGGUGGGGUAAAGGCCUACCAAGGCGACGAUCCGUAACUGGUCUGAGAGGAUGAUCAGUCACAGUGGAAGGGAGAGCCGGGCAGGAUGGAGAGGGGAGGAAGCAGUGGAGAAUAUUGGAGAAGGGAGGAAAGCGGGAGCCAGCGAGGCGGGGUGUGGGAAGGAGGUAUUGGGAUUGUAAAGGUAUUGAGGGUGGGAGGAAGGGCAGUAAGUUAAUUCGUUGCUGUGUGGACGGUAACAAAAGAAUAAGCACCGGCUAACUUCGUGCAGGCAGCGGCGGUAAUA